rnacentral:rRNA from 1 species
UACUCGCGAAUGCAUCUUAGAAUUAGAGUUUGAUCAUGGCUCAGAUUGAACGCUGGCGGCAGGCCUAACACAUGCAAGUCGAGCGGAUGAUGGGAGCUUGCUCCCGGAUUCAGCGGCGGACGGGUGAGUAAUGCCUAGGAAUCUGCCUGGUAGUGGGGGACAACGUUUCGAAAUGGAACGCUAAUUACCGGCAUACGUCCUACGUGGAGAAAUGCAGGGGACCUUCUGGGCCUUGCNGCUAUUCAUGAUUGAAGGCCUAGAGGUGUCGGGAAUUUAGUCGUANGUUUGGUUUGGUGUGGUAACAGGUGCCNUAUCCCAAUNGGGGCUGGACUGUGUUCCGCUGGUUUA